GACGAACCGUGCGAACGUUGUUCAGAAUCACUGGGCUUAAAGGGCGCGUAGGCGGAUCGUCAAGUCCGGGGUGAAAUCCUCCAGCUUAACUGGAGAAUAGCCCUGGAUACUGGCGGUCUCGAGGGAGGUAGGGGCAGUUGGAACUUCCGGUGGAGCGGUGAAAUGCGUUGAUAUCGGAAGGAACGCCGGUGGCGAAAGCGAACUGCUGGGCCUCUUCUGACGCUGAGGCGCGAAAGCCAGGGGAGCAAACGGG
rnacentral:rRNA from 1 species